rnacentral:rRNA from 1 species
AGCGAACGCUGGCGGCAGGCCUAACACAUGCAAGUCGAACGAAGCCUUCGGGCUUAGUGGCGGACGGGUGAGUAACACGCGGGAACGUACCUUUUGUUCCGGAACAAGUCAGGGCAAAUUGGGCUAAUACCGGAUGCGCCCUUCGGGGGAAAGAUUUAUCGCCAUUAGAGCGGCCCGCGUUAGAUUAGCUCGUUGGUAGGGUAAAGGCUCACCAAGGCUACGAUCUAUAGCUGGUCUGAGAGGAUGAUCAGCCACACUGGGACUGAGACACGGCCCAGACUCCUACGGGAGGAAGCAGUGGGGAAUCUUGCGCAAUGGGCGAAAGCCUGACGCAGCCAUGCCGCGUGAAUGAUGAAGGUCUUAGGAUUGUAAAAUUCUUUUACCAGGGACGAUGAUGACGGUACCUGGAGAAAAAGCCCCGGCUAACUUCGUGCCAGCAGCCGCGGUAACAC